rnacentral:lncRNA from 1 species
CCCUUCAAUCUGAACUGAAUGCUCUCAUGAUUGAAAAACACAGACUCCAAGCCGAACUGGAGGGUGAGAGCAUUGGAACUGACCAACCUGAUCAACCACAGGAGGCACCACAAUUGAUAUCAGUUGCCCCUGUGAGAGGACGGAAAAUGAAACGAAUCUCGACUCAGUUAGAAGAGAAGAAAGAGGAGCAAAGAGGUCCAGAGGAGUGGCUCCGAGAUCCAGGGGAAGCGCCCCCGAGUCCAGGGGAGGGACCCUCAGUAAGACCACGGUCACCAACGCCUAUAAGGGCAUCAAGGAGUCCUGAAAGAGUAAAGGUGAGCAAGAUAUUGUUACCAUUGUUGAUCGAUCUCUGAAAAUGAAUGAAAUUCGAAGUCUGAGAAAAGACUUUUCACGUCACCCAAAUGAGCCUAUUGCCACUUGGUUACUUCGUUGUUGGGACAAUGGGGCCAAUAGUGUGUGGCUAGAUAGUAGAGAAGCGCGCCAGCUGGGUGGCAUUGCUAGGGACUCAGCCAUUGACCGGGGUAUUAGUACAUGCCAGAACCAGGCCUUCACCCUCUGGAAGAGGAUGUUGUUAGCUGUAAAAGAAAGAUACCCCUUCAAAGACGAUCUGAUGCCUGAGAAAAAGAAAUGGACUGAUAUAGAAAAAGGCAUCCAUUAUUUGAGAGAAUAUGCUGUGGUGGAAAUGCUACAUAGCCCUGAUUUCAUUCCUGAUGAGCCGGAUCAAGAGCAUGAUCCUGAGAGAGUCAGGUGUACACCAAAUAUGUGGCGUACAUUCACAAAGACUGCACCAGAAAGGUACGCCAGUACAUUUGCAGCAACGUAUGGCAGAGGGAAAAGAAGACCCCUUAUAAAUGAACUGAUUAAUAAACUUCAAGACUUUGAGUUACAUUUAAACCCUCUGCGAGCUUGUGUUUCAGCCAUCGCAAAAGUAGCUGAAAAGCUGAAUAGAAUGGAAAACAAACAAGAAGAUAUAAUAGACAAACUGUCAACCGUGCCUAAUGCUGAUGGAUCCACGGUGGUAACAGACACAUCCAAUGGGGACCAGAAUUCCCAGAACAGUCUACUGGAGGGGCUGAUCAACUUGGUUUCCUCCCAGUCGGUGUCAUCCAACGUCUCAGCUAUCAAAAGAAGACGUCCUCCUGCUCGAGCAAGUGACAACAGUAAGACUAUGUCACGUUUUGCCUUGUGGCAUUACCUACGUGACCAUGGAGAAGAUAUGAAGAAGUGGCAUAAACAACCUACUCCUGCACUUCUAGCACAGGUGAAAGAAUUACAAGACA